rnacentral:rRNA from 1 species
UGGGGAAUAUUGGACAAUGGGCGCAAGCCUGAUCCAGCCAUGCCGCGUGAGUGAUGAUGGCCCUAGGGUUGUAAAGCUCUUUCACCGGUGAAGAUAAUGACGGUAACCGGAGAAGAAGCCCCGGCUAACUUCGUGCCAGCAGCCGCGGUAAUACGAAGGGGGCUAGCGUUGUUCGGAUUUACUGGGCGUAAAGCGCACGUAGGCGGACUUUUAAGUCAGGGGUGAAAUCCCGGGGCUCAACCCCGGAACUGCCUUUGAUACUGGAAGUCUUGAGUAUGGUAGAGGUGAGUGGAAUUCCGAGUGUAGAGGUGAAAUUCGUAGAUAUUCGGAGGAACACCAGUGGCGGAGGCGGCUCACUGGACCAUUACUGACGCUGAGGUGCGAAAGCGUGGGGAGCAAACAGG